rnacentral:misc_RNA from 1 species
GAAAUGCGAUAAGUAAUGUGAAUUGCAGAAUUCAGUGAAUCAUCGAAUCGUUGAACGCACCUUGCGCCUUUUGGUAUUCCGAAAGGCAUGCCUGUUUGGGUGUCAUGAAAUCUCAAUCCCCCCGGGUUUUCUGAACCCGAGGUGGACUUGGACAUGGAUGUCUGCCGUCUCGUACGGCUCGCCUUAAAUGACUGAGUGGGAUCUGCAGCAUCCGUGACAGUCGUAAUACGUUUCGUCUCGUCCCCUGCUGUGAGGUCCGCUCAUAACCCGCCAUCGCGCACCACUUUUGUCUCUGACCUCACAUCAGGUAGGACUACCCGCUGAACUUAA